GACACAGCUGAGGCCCUCAUGGGUUGGC
rnacentral:piRNA from 1 species